CCUACGGGUGGCAGCAGUGAGGAAUAUUGGUCAAUGGGCUAAGGCCUGAACCAGCCAAGUCGCGUGAGGGAAGACGGUCCUAUGGAUUGUAAACCUCUUUUGUCGGGGAGCAACGAGGCCAAGUGUGGCCGAAGUGGGAAUAACCGAAGAAAAAGCAUCGGCUAACUCCGUGCCAGAAGCCGCGGUAAUACGGAGGAUGCGAGCGUUAUCCGGGUUUAUUGGGUUUAAAGGGUGCGUAGGCGGAACAUUAAGUCAGCGGUAAAAUCGAGGGGCUCAACCCCUUUAAGCCGUUGAAACUGCCAUGCUGGAGUGCCGGAGAGGUAAGCGGAAUUCCUAGUGUAGCGGUGAAAUGCGUAGAUAUUAGGAGGAACACCAGUGGCGGAGGCGGCUUACUGGACGGUAACUGACGCUGAGGCUCGAAAGCGUGGGGAGCAAACAGGAUUAGAUACCCGAGUAGUC
rnacentral:rRNA from 1 species